AUUGAACGCUGGCGGCAGGCUUAACACAUGCAAGUCGAGCGGGGUGAGGUGCUUCGGUACUGAUCCUAGCGGCGGACGGGUGAGUAAUGCUUAGGAAUCUGCCUAUUAGUGGGGGACAACAUUCUGAAAGGAAUGCUAAUACCGCAUACGUCCUACGGGAGAAAGCAGGGGAUCUUCGGACCUUGCGCUAAUAGAUGAGCCUAAGUCGGAUUAGCUAGUUGGUGGGGUAAAGGCCUACCAAGGCGACGAUCUGUAGCGGGUCUGAGAGGAUGAUCAGCCAAACUGGGACUGGGACACGGCCCAGACUCCUACGGGAGGCAGCAGUGGGGAAUAUUGGACAAUGGGCGGAAGCCUGAUCCAGCCAUGCCGCGUGUGGGAAGAAGGCCUUUUGGUUGUAAAGCACUUUAAGCGAGGAGGAGGCUACCUAGAUUAAUACUCUGGGAUAGUGGACGUUACUCGCAGAAUAAGCACCGGCUAACUCUGUGCCAGCCGCCGCGGUAACAC
rnacentral:rRNA from 1 species